GUGUUUUAUCUUAAUAGAGGAACUUGUCCUUUAAUCGAUAGUCCGCGUUAUAUCUAACCUUAUUUUAAAGUUUAUAUACCGUUGUUGUUAGAUUACUUGUCUACAAAGCUUAAGUUUUCUUUGUAAAAAUUAUUUUGUGACUUCAAAUCAAGGUGUAGUAUAUAGUAAGGGUUGAGAUGAGUUACUUUAGGCUAGGAUCGUAAAGUUAUUUGAAAUUUUUUUGUUAAGUUGGAUUUACUAGUAAAUUUUUAUUAAUAAAAUUGAUUGAAAUGAGAUCUAGAGCAUGUACAUAUCGCCCGUCACUCCGGUUUUAAUAUUGGAUAAGUCGUAACAAAGUAGAGGUAAGGGAACUUGCUUCUAGAUG
rnacentral:rRNA from 1 species